GAUCAGUAGCCGGACUGAGAGGUUGAACGGCCACAUUGGGACUGAGAUACGGCCCAGACUCCUACGGGAGGCAGCAGUGGGGAAUAUUGCACAAUGGGCGCAAGCCUGAUGCAGCGACGCCGCGUGCGGGAUGACGGCCUUCGGGUUGUAAACCGCUUUUGACUGGGAGCAAGCCCUUCGGGGUGAGUGUACCUUUCGAAUAAGCACCGGCUAACUACGUGCCAGCAGCCGCGGUAAUACGUAGGGUGCAAGCGUUAUCCGGAAUUAUUGGGCGUAAAGGGCUCGUAGGCGGUUCGUCGCGUCCGGUGUGAAAGUCCAUCGCUUAACGGUGGAUCCGCGCCGGGUACGGGCGGGCUUGAGUGCGGUAGGGGAGACUGGAAUUCCCGGUGUAACGGUGGAAUGUGUAGAUAUCGGGAAGAACACCAAUGGCGAAGGCAGGUCUCUGGGCCGUCACUGACGCUGAGGAGCGAAAGCGUGGGGAGCGAACAGGAUUAGAUACCCUGGUAGUCCACGCCGUAAACGGUGGAUGCUGGAUGUGGGGACCAUUCCACGGUCUCCGUGUCGGAGCCAACGCGUUAAGCAUCCCGCCUGGGGAGUACGGCCGCAAGGCUAAAACUCAAAGAAAUUGACGGGGGCCCGCACAAGCGGCGGAGCAUGCGGAUUAAUUCGAUGCAACGCGAAGAACCUUACCUGGGCUUGACAUGUUCCCGACAGCCCCAGAGAUGGGGCCUCCCUUCGGGGCGGGUUCACAGGUGGUGCAUGGUCGUCGUCAGCUCGUGUCGUGAGAUGUUGGGUUAAGUCCCGCAACGAGCGCAACCCUCGCCCUGUGUUGCCAGCACGUCGUGGUGGGAACUCACGGGGGACCGCCGGGGUCAACUCGGAGGAAGGUGGGGAUGACGUCAGAUCAUCAUGCCCCUUACGUCCAGGGCUUCACGCAUGCUACAAUGGCCGGUACAACGGGAUGCGACCUCGUGAGGGGGAGCGGAUCCCUUAAAACCGGUCUCAGUUCGGAUUGGAGUCUGCAACCCGACUCCAUGAAGGCGGAGUCGCUAGUAAUCGCGGAUCAGCAACGCCGCGGUGAAUGCGUUCCCGGGCCUUGUACACACCGCCCGUCAAGUCAUGAAAGUGGGUAGCACCCGAAGCCGGUGGCCCAACCUUUUUGGGGGGAGCCGUCUAAGGUGAGACUCGUGAUUGGGACUAAGUCGUAACAAGGUAGCCGUACCGGAAGGUGCGGCUG
rnacentral:rRNA from 1 species